UACAGAGACUGCAAGCGUUACUCGGAUUCACUGGGCGUAAAGGGAGCGCAGGUGGGCAGGUGUGUCGGGCGUGAAAUCCCGGGGCUUAACUCCGGAACGGCGCCCGAAACUAUCUGUCUAGAGGAUUGGAGAGGCGGGUGGAAUUCCAGGUGUAGCGGUGAAAUGCGUAGAUAUCUGGAGGAACACCGACGGCGAAGGCAGCCCGCUGGACAAAUCCUGACACUCAGGCUCGAAAGUAUGGGGAGCAAAAGGG
rnacentral:rRNA from 1 species